GACGAACGCUGGCGGCGUGCCUAAUACAUGCAAGUCGAGCGGACUUUCCGGAGUGCUUGCACUCCGGAAGGUUAGCGGCGGACGGGUGAGUAACACGUAGGCAACCUGCCCAUAAGACCGGGAUAACAUUCGGAAACGAAUGCUAAUACCGGAUAGACGGACUUCUCGCAUGAGGGGAUCGGGAAAGGCGGAGCAAUCUGCCGCUUAUGGAUGGGCCUGCGGCGCAUUAGCUAGUUGGUGGGGUAACGGCCUACCAAGGCGGCGAUGCGUAGCCGACCGGGGGGGGUGGUCGGGGGCGCGGGGGCUGGGGCGCGGGGGGGGGUGGUGCGGGAGGGGGGAGUGGGGGGGGGGGCGCGGUGGGGGGGAGUCUGGCGGGGCGGGGGGGGGGGGGUGGGGGGGGCCUUCGGGUCGUAGAGCUCUGUUGCCAGGGAAGAACGGGCAGGGGAGUAACUGCCCUUGCCAUGACGGUACCUGAGAAGAAAGCCCCGGCUAACUACGUG
rnacentral:rRNA from 1 species